rnacentral:rRNA from 1 species
AUUGAACGCUGGCGGCGUGCCUAAUACAUGCAAGUCGAACGGAGUGGCGAACGGGGGAGUAAUGUAUAGCUAAUCUGCCCUACACUAGAGGACAACAGUUGGGAACGACUGCAAAUACUCUAUAGUGUAGGGUGAGGCUAUAUUGUAUCAGCUAGUUGGUGAGGUAAUGGCUCACCCAGGCUAUGACGAGUAACUGGUCCGAGAGGAUGAGCAGUCACACUGUAACGGAGGCACGGUCCGGAAUCAUACCGGAAGCAGCAGUAGGGAAUAUUGGUCAAGGGGCGAAACCCUGAAGCAGCAUCGCCGCGUGGAGGAUGACACUUUUCGGAGCGUAAACUCCUUUUGUUAGGGAAGCGGUACCUAACGAAUAAGCACCGGCUAACUCCGUGCCAGCAGCCGCGGUAAUAC